AUUCAUUUUCUGCACUUUCAGAGUGUAAUGUUGUUGUGGAGAGAGGCAAUGAGGCUUGUGGUGUUGUGGAGAGAGGCACUGAGGCUUGUGGUGUUGUGGAGAGAAGCACUGAGGCUAGUGGUGUUGUGGAGAGAGGCACUGAGGCUAGUGGUGUUGUGGAGAGAGGCACUGAGACUAGUGGUGUUGUGGAGACCGGCUUGGAGACUAUGGUGAGGCCUAAUAGAAAGCAGUUGUUGUUGGGGGAUUCCAUUAUAUGAGGUGUGGAGAUGGACAAUGGUGGUCUUGUGAGGUGUCUUCCCGGAGCUACUGCUCACAGAGACAGGAGACGUAUCUGUAAUAUUGUUAAGCAAGCAAAGCAGGAAGGGGA